rnacentral:rRNA from 1 species
GUGGUGACACAAAAUUGGAGGCCCCGACUGUUUACUAAAAACACAACACAGUGCAAUCAUUAAUAUGAUAGUAUACUGUGUGAAAUUUGCCCGAUGCCAUUAAUAUAAGAGCGGUCAUGGGUAACUGUGACUAAUCGAAAAUCUGGUUAAUAGCGGUCUUAACUAUGAGGAUCCUAAGGUAGCAAAAUCAGUUGGCCAUUAAAUGUGGUCCGGUAUCAAUAAUGUAACGAUGGCCUCACUGUCUCUACAACUUGCUCAGUGAAAUUGAAUUACACGUGCAGAUGCGUGUUGCCUCCAGGGGGACGGGAAGACCCUAUGCAGCUUUUACUG